rnacentral:rRNA from 1 species
CCUACGGGAGGCAGCAGUGAGGAAUAUUGGUCAAUGGACGAGAGUCUGAACCAGCCAAGUAGCGUGCAGGAUGACUGCCCUAUGGGUUGUAAACUUCUUUUAUAUGGGAAUAAAAUGUUCCACGUGUGGGAUUUUGUAUGUACCAUAUGAAUAAGGAUCGGCUAACUCCGUGCCAGCAGCCGCGGUAAUACGGAGGAUCCGAGCGUUAUCCGGAUUUAUUGGGUUUAAAGGGAGCGUAGGUGGUUUGUUAAGUCAGUUGUGAAAUUUUGCGGCUCAACCGUGAAAUUGCAGUUGAAACUGGCAGUCUUGAGUACAGUAGAGGUGGGCGGAAUUCGUGGUGUAGCGGUGAAAUGCUUAGAUAUCACGAAGAACUCCGAUUGCGAAGGCAGCUCACUGGACUGCAACUGACACUGAGGCUCGAAAGUGUGGGUAUCAAACAGGAUUAGAUACCCUUGUAGUC